AUUGAACGCUGGCGGCAUGCCUUACACAUGCAAGUCGAGCGGUAACGCGGGGCAACCUGGCGACGAGUGGCGAACGGGUGAGUAAUGCAUCGGAACGUGCCCAGUAGUGGGGGAUAGCCCGGCGAAAGCCGGAUUAAUACCGCAUACGACCUACGGUUGAAGGCGGGGGACCGUAAGGCCUCGCGCUAUUGGAGCGGCAGCGGUCAGGGUAGGAUGUUGGUGGGGUAAAAGCCUACCAAGGCGGCGGUUUGUAGCUGGUCUGAGAGGACGACCAGCCACACUGGGACUGAGACACGGCCCAGACUCCUACGGGAGGCAGCAGUGGGGAAUUUUGGACAAUGGGGGCAACCCUGAUCCAGCCAUGCCGCGUGCGGGAAGAAGGCCUUCGGGUUGUAAACCGCUUUUGUCAGGGAAGAAACGCUCUGGGCUAAUCCCCCGGGGUAAUGACGGUACCUGAAGAAUAAGCACCGGCUAACUACGUGCCAGCCGCCGCCGUAAGAC
rnacentral:rRNA from 1 species